UGACAUUGUCUCCUCUCUUUUUUGCUACCAUCAUAGGGAUAAACUUCACAGGCAUCCUUGUGCCAUUCGAUGAUGCGAUUCAUGACCAAUGCUUUGAUGUCUGGGAGUGCUAUAUUAUGGAUUUACUUGGGUUCUUGCCAACAUGCAAGAACACUCACUGCAUUACUUACCAGAGCAUUCCUCUCCAUUAUAGAGUCUUUGUGCCUCGAAA
rnacentral:lncRNA from 1 species